rnacentral:tRNA from 1 species
GGAGGUAUAGUUCUGUGGUAGAACACUUGCCUAGCAUGUAUGAGACGCUGAGUUCAAUCCCCAGCACCACCA